rnacentral:lncRNA from 1 species
AUGUUUAAUUCAGGUAUUGCUACCAACUGUUAUUGGCAGUGGUUUAGCUAGAUUAACAAUGAUGUGUUUUGGUUUAACUGCAAAUUUGCAUAAUUUGCAUAAUUUGCAUGAUUUGCAUAAAUUUGCAUAAUGGUUGAAUAUUGGUUUAAAACAAUAUACAUGUACAAGUAUCUACAUGUGGUUGUUGUUGUGAUGCUAUAAUUCUUAAAAUUAAGAUUAUAGGUUAAAUGUUAUUUCAGGUAAAUUUGUAUAGAAAAUUUAGAACAAUUUCUUGCAAAUUGACAACUUUGUUGUUUAGUUAAAGGGAUCUUGUCACUUUUUUGAUGAAGUUGAGUUAAGUAAAUGUAAUACAGUGCACGUAGUGAAUGUUAGUUUAAAUGUUCAGUAAAGCUUCACAUUUAGGGGGCCGGGAUGUCGUGUGUAGAAAGCCCUUUUGGUUAGAUUUAGGCAAGACUGUGACGUCACUAGCGAUAAUUAAGAAGCUAGUAUUGAUUUGGCCGCUUGGAGGCGCUGUUAGGCGUGCUGCUAAUUUCCAUGUUUCGGAAAGGUUAUGUUAACCGGAGAUGCCAUUGAUAUUUGUCUAAUUUCGAUACAAGCCCAAUGAUAUUGAACCUGCAUUGUUUGCACGGUAUCUUCAUGGUUUGUCAAGUUCUGUCGUCGAUGGUGUCGAGGUGUUUUGGAAGUCACA